GCUGGGCGUGGUGGCUCACGCCUGUAAUCCCAGCACUUUGGGAGGCCGAGGUGGGUGGAUCACCUGAGGUCGGGAGUUCGAGACCAGCCUGACCAACAUGGAGAAACCCCAUCUCUA
ensembl:misc_RNA Metazoa_SRP Metazoan signal recognition particle RNA